UGGGGAAUUUUGGACAAUGGGCGCAAGCCUGAUCCAGCAAUGCCGCGUGCAGGAUGAAGGCCUUCGGGUUGUAAACUGCUUUUGUACGGAACGAAACGGCGAACUCUAAUAAAGUUUGCUAAUGACGGUACCGUAAGAAUAAGCACCGGCUAACUACGUGCCAGCAGCCGCGGUAAUACGUAGGGUGCAAGCGUUAAUCGGAAUUACUGGGCGUAAAGCGUGCGCAGGCGGUUAUAUAAGACAGAUGUGAAAUCCCCGGGCUCAACCUGGGACCUGCAUUUGUGACUGUAUAGCUAGAGUACGGUAGAGGGGGAUGGAAUUCCGCGUGUAGCAGUGAAAUGCGUAGAUAUGCGGAGGAACACCGAUGGCGAAGGCAAUCCCCUGGACCUGUACUGACGCUCAUGCACGAAAGCGUGGGGAGCAAACAGGAUUAGAUACCCGGGUAGUCCCUGAGCGGGCUGGCAAGGCGCAU
rnacentral:rRNA from 1 species